CCUACGGGAGGCAGCAGUAGGGAAUCUUCCACAAUGGGCGAAAGCCUGAUGGAGCAACGCCGCGUGGGUGAAGAAGGUCUUCGGAUCGUAAAACCCUGUUGUUAGAGAAGCAAGUGCGUGAGAGUAACUGUUCACGUUUCGACGGUAUCUAACCAGAAAGCCACGGCUAACUACGUGCCGGCAGCCGCGGUAAUACGUAGGUGGCAAGCGUUAUCCGGUUUUAUUUGGCGUAAAGGGAACGCAGGCGGUCUUUUAAGUCUGAUGUGAAAGCCUUCGGCUUAACCGGAGUAGUGCAUUGGAAACUGGGAGACUUGAGUGCAGAAGAGGAGAGUGGAACUCCAUGUGUAGCGGUGAAAUGCGUAGAUAUAUGGAAGAACACCAGUGGCGAAAGCGGCUCUCUGGUCUGUAACUGACGCUGAGGUUCGAAAGCGUGGGUAGCAAACAGGAUUAGAUACCCCUGUAGUC
rnacentral:rRNA from 1 species